rnacentral:rRNA from 1 species
GAUGAACGCUGGCGGCGUGCCUAAUACAUGCAAGUCGAGCGAACAGACGAGGAGCUUGCUCCUCUGACGUUAGCGGCGGACGGGUGAGUAACACGUGGAUAACCUACCUAUAAGACUGGGAUAACUUCGGGAAACCGGAGCUAAUACCGGAUAAGAUAUUGAACCGCAUGGUUCAAUAGAGAAAGACGGUUUUGCUGUCACUAAUAGAUGGAUCCGCGCCGCAUUAGCUAGUUGGUAAGGUAACGGCUUACCAAGGCAACGAUGCGUAGCCGACCUGAGAGGGUGAUCAGCCACACUGGAACUGAGACACGGUCCAGACUCCUACGGGAGGCAGCAGUAGGGAAUCUUCCGCAAUGGGCGAAAGCCUGACGCAGCAACGCCGCGUGAGUGAUGAAGGUCUUCGGAUCGUAAAGCUCUUUUAUUUGGGAAGAACAACUGUGUAUGUAACUCUUCCCGUCUUGACGUUACCUACUCAGAAAGCCCCGGCUAACUACGUG